GAAGGUGGCUCAGUGGUAGAGCGUUUGCCUUGCAUGCAUGAGGCCCUGGAUUCGAUUCCCAAGGCUUCA
rnacentral:tRNA from 1 species